GAUGAACGCUGGCGGCGUGCCUAAUACAUGCAAGUCGAGCGAACAGACGAGGAGCUUGCUCCUUUGACGUUAGCGGCGGACGGGUGAGUAACACGUGGAUAACCUACCUAUAAGACUGGGAUAACUUCGGGAAACCGGCGCUAAUACCGGAUAAUAUUUUGAACCGCAUGGUUCUAUAGUGAAAGACGGUUUUGCUGUCACUUAUAGAUGGAUCCGCGCCGUAUUAGCUAGUUGGUAAGGUAACGGCUUACCAAGGCAACGAUGCGUAGCCGACCUGAGAGGGUGAUCGGCCACACUGGAACUGAGACACGGUCCAGACUCCUACGGGAGGCAGCAGUAGGGAAUCUUCCGCAAUGGGCGAAAGCCUGACGGAGCAACGCCGCGUGAGUGAUGAAGGUGUUCGGAUCGUAAAACUCUGUUAUUAGGGAAGAACAAAUGUGUAAGUAACUGUGCACGUCUUGACGGUACCUAAUCAGAAAGCCACGGCUAACUACGUG
rnacentral:rRNA from 1 species